UACAGAGGGUGCGAGCGUUGUCCGGAAUCACUGGGCGUAAAGGGCGCGUAGGCGGCCUGAUAAGUAGGGGGGUGAAAUCCUGUGGCUUAACUGCAGGGCUGCCUCCUAGACUGUUAGGCUCGAGCACGGUAGAGGCAGAUGGAAUUCCCGGUGUAGCGGUGGAAUGCGUAGAGAUCGGGAAGAACAUCGGUGGCGAAGGCGGCUCUCUGGACCACUACUGACGCUGAGGCGCGAAAGCUAGGGGAGCAAACAGG
rnacentral:rRNA from 1 species